rnacentral:rRNA from 1 species
GACGAACCGUCCAAACGUUAUUCGGAUUCACUGGGCUUAAAGGGUGCGUAGGCGGCUCAGAAAGUAGGGUGUGAAAGCCCUCGGCUCAACCGAGGAACUGCGCCCUAAACUACUGGGCUUGAGGAACGCAGAGGUAAGCGGAACUUACGGUGGAGCGGUGAAAUGCGUUGAUAUCGUAAGGAACACCAGGAGCGAAAGCGGCUUACUGGGCGUUUUCUGACGCUGAUGCACGAAAGCUAGGGGAGCGAACGGGAUUAGAUACCCCGGUAGUCCUAGCCGUAAACGAUGAGCACUGGAUUGGAGGCCCCCCCAUAGGCUUCUAGUCGUAGCGAAAGUGUUAAGUGCUCCGCCUGGGGAGUAUGGUCGCAAGGCUGAA